GCCCUCGUCGUCUAAUGGCAAGGAUACCGGCCCCUCAAGCCGGAGAUGUGGGUUCGAAUCCCACCGAGGGCACCA
rnacentral:tRNA from 1 species